rnacentral:rRNA from 1 species
AUGUAUUCCGUUGAGCGAGCAAUGGCCAAAGCCGCCGCGUCCCUUCUCCCCGGUCUUCUCCCGACCCCGCCCACGUAGCCCUGCCUCAUCAUCCUGCCGGCUUCCUUCGCCUCCAACCCCAAGCCCAAGCCCGGCCGCGCUGACUCCGUCGAGAGGUGGGACGCGCACAAGGACAAGAAGCCCACGAGCCCAGCCUCGUCGUGCUCCGGCAGCUCAAGUCCCGGCAGAGCCUCCUCCUGCCAGCGUUGGGACAUAAACAAGCGCAUCUCCGUCAGCAGCUGCACGUCAUCAUCGUCAAGCCGGCGAAGCAGCACGAGCUCCGGCAGGGCAUCGCCGUGCGGGAGGCAGCUGCCGCCCAGCCGUGCGACCUCUGCUGAUCGCUGGGACACGCACAAGAAGCCUCGACCGGCACAAGCUAGCGCAGAGAGCUGGACGAGCCUCAAGGAGGAGCAGGAGGACGACACAAUGAAUCCGACAGCGCCGCGCAUAGGCCCCAUCUUCUCUGGCCCGAGCUUCCUCGCCUCGCCUGACCCGAGCAUGCUUCCAAUGCCGGCCUUCUUUCGCUCGCGGAACCCGGGAGUGCUUCCUGUACAAGCCUUCUAG